rnacentral:rRNA from 1 species
CCUACGGGAGGCAGCAGUGGGGAAUCUUGCGCAAUGGGCGAAAGCCUGACGCAGCCAUGCCGCGUGAAUGAUGAAGAUCUUAGGAUUGUAAAAUUCUUUCACCGGGGACGAUAAUGACGGUACCCGGAGAAGAAGCCCCGGCUAACUUCGUGCCAGCAGGCGCGGUAAU